GUCCUUGACCCCAUUACAUCCAUAAAAGACCUUUUGAUUUGAACAUGCAUAUGUUUUUGAGUGUUGCUAUUAGAGGCUUGCCAAGUCUGUUUGUGUUUGCUUUCUUGAGUGCAUUGAGUUGACAUUGUUUACCUUAGACACUUAAGAGAAACACUGAUAGUGCAUCUGUGAGGUUCUGUUGCUUUUGAUUCACCUCUCGAGCGGAUUGAUCAUUUUGUCAUGCUUUGAAUUGCUUGGAUGAUUUCUCUGAGUAUCUGAUUUCUUUGAUUCUGUGUGGAUGCUAUCUACUACUUUCCCUUGUCCGGAUUUCUUGAGGACUGUAAUUCUGUUUGUUUCUGUCCUUGUUAGUCUUUGUGUUUUGUCUGCUGAGUCUGUGUUAAUUCCCUG
rnacentral:lncRNA from 1 species